CGAGAAUUAGUGCAGUUUGGUAGCACGCUUGCUUUGGGAGCAAGAAGUCGUAGGUUCAAAUCCUGCAUUCUCGA
rnacentral:tRNA from 1 species